UACAAUAUUUCCAAUGCAAAAGGUAACUCUUAGGGGAAAAAAUGGGGUUAUUUGGAAUAGACGUAGCAAUGGCGGUGGUAGGGCUUUGGGCGGUGUGGUUGCGACCGUCGCUGAUGACAUUCGCCGGUGAGAUGGUGGAAGUGCUGGGCGGCGCCAUUUGCCGGAUCAUUAGAGGCAUUCCUUCUUUAUCUGUCUCUUCGUAUCUUCCCUAUUCUACUUCGUUUAUGCACUGGCAGUGAAAAAACAUCAAUUAAAUAGCUCAGCGUAACGCUGAGCCCUCUGCACCAGUUACAGUUGAGCUCUAGGCGGCCAUUGCCCAUGUAGGAUGGUGGUGACCACACUCCUCCUGCGUCUCCGACGGGACCUACGACCAGUAAUGUCUCAGCCUCCCCUGCAUCGUCCACUCUUGCCACGCCUCCGCCAAGUUCUUGAAUUUGGCAGCACACUCAGCCAACCCUUUGCCCUCAAAUUAGACAAAAACAACUUUACGCUUUGGAAGACGAUGGUUUCUGCAAUCAUUCGUGGCCAUUGACUUGACAGAUUCCUCACUGGCUCCAAGGUGAAACCUACCUAGUUCAGUCUAAAUAGGGAACGGGACGGGAAUAACUUUCAAUCCCCGAAUGUUAAAUGGGGUGGGGACGAGGGUAGCACUCCCCGCCUUGACGGGGCUCGUUUAAAUUUUUAUAUACUUUUGUAAUAUUUUAUAUGUAUUUUAUAUAUUUCUUUAUGUGUUUUUGUAGUAUAGUAGUAACUUUUUUAAUAUUUUAAAUUUUAUUUAGGAUAGUGUUUAAUAUUUUAAAUAAUAAAUAUUAUGCAAUAUUUUAAUUUACAUAUAAUUUACGAUUUUUAUUUUGAAAUAUUUAAAAUUUAUUUUUUAAAUAAAUGGGUUCCCCGUGGGGAUUCCCACCCCAUCCCCGACGGGGAAUAAGCAGGGAUGGGGAUUAGAAAUAUAAAUGGGGACGGGGACAGGGGGUGCACUUCCCGCUAAUUUUCCGCCCCGUGUGCAUCACUAA